UGGCGAACGGGUGAGUAACACGUGGGCAAUCUGCCCUGCACUCUGGGACAAGCCCUGGAAACGGGGUCUAAUACCGGAUACUGACCCUCGCAGGCAUCUGCGAGGUUCGAAAGCUCCGGCGGUGCAGGAUGAGCCCGCGGCCUAUCAGCUAGUUGGUGAGGUAAUGGCUCACCAAGGCGACGACGGGUAGCCGGCCUGAGAGGGCGACCGGCCACACUGGGACUGAGACACGGCCCAGACUCCUACGGGAGGCAGCAGUGGGGAAUAUUGCACAAUGGGCGAAAGCCUGAUGCAGCGACGCCGCGUGAGGGAUGACGGCCUUCGGGUUGUAAACCUCUUUCAGCAGGGAAGAAGCGAAAGUGACGGUACCUGCAGAAGAAGCGCCGGCUAACUACGUGCCAGCAGCCGCGGUAAUACGUAGGGCGCAAGCGUUGUCCGGAAUUAUUGGGCGUAAAGAGCUCGUAGGCGGCUUGUCACGUCGGUUGUGAAAGCCCGGGGCUUAACCCCGGGUCUGCAGUCGAUACGGGCAGGCUAGAGUUCGGUAGGGGAGAUCGGAA
rnacentral:rRNA from 1 species